rnacentral:rRNA from 1 species
UACGUAGGGUCCGAGCGUUGUCCGGAAUUACUGGGCGUAAAGAGCUCGUAGGUGGUUUGUCGCGUUGUUCGUGAAAAACUCACAGCUCAACUGUGGGCGUGCGGGCGAUACGGGCAGACUAGAGUACUGCAGGGGAGACUGGAAUUCCUGGUGUAGCGGUGGAAUGCGCAGAUAUCAGGAGGAACACCGAUGGCGAAGGC